CUCAUUUAAGGGUUGGUAGUGGAGGAGAAGGUAUCUUGCUGGAGGUUUCUGUGUAACUGAAGUCUUCUAAAGGUCAGACUGCCCCCCUGCCAUAUGCCAUGUGGCAAUGAAAUGUAAUGGAAUAUCAGUGGGAAGGUUCCCUCUCUAGUGCCAUACCACCAAAGCAUAUUCAAUGCAUAUAUCAAAUGGAUGUUUCCUUUUGGAUUUCCAACUUUCUUUAAGAAAGAUUUAUUUCCAGAUAGAUUAAAUGAUGUUUUCUAUACGAAUUCAUUCAGCACCUUAAAAAACUGAGUUUUGAAUGGAAGUGAUUGGACAACUUUGUUGUUGUUGAAUAUAGUAGGAAGAUGUUUCUAUGGAAAGAAGAAAAUAAUAACAGCCCUAUAUACAGCGAUGAACAUCUUUGGCAUCUGUAAUACUACUGAUCUGUUCUGUCUAAACUUAAGCUGUAUCUUUGAGAAGAGACUUUGGCCAUUUGGUCCCUUUCAAAGGGAGACUUGAAGGUGCUGCACUUCAUUUUGGGAAACACAUUUUGAUUUGGCUCUACGACUUCUGAUUUGUCCUCCUCAACCACUGCACAUAACAAAGGGCUGAAAGCCAAUCCAAAUUUUUUGCUGAAGAUUCAGUGAGACAACACAGUCUAGUUAUCUCUGCUCAGCAGAUUGAUGUCCUUUUGCCCCUGCUACCAGGACAUCAUGCAAAAGGAGACCAAAGGAAUGGAUGAAGAUAGAAUGAGCACUGGAUUCCUACAAACAUUGCCCACGGAGAUUCAGAAGUCCUAAACUGGAAGAGGGGAGGAUAUCUUGUAUGAGACUCCAACCAGGUGUGAAGUUCCUUGCCUUCCUAAUCACUGUUUUAAUAGAGAGCUAAACAUUUCUCUGAUGAGGCAAAGAAAUAUGCUGCACUGAUGCCAUGGACAACGGAAAUUUUUUUCAAACUAACUCUAUGGUUAAACUGUAGUUGUUUUCAUUUGACUGUAUGACCUUUAUACACUUAUUAAAAGAAACCUGAACUAUUCCUUUUCAAGCUGUUAAACUCCUGUUUUGUACGUUACGUGCAGUUAUGUUCGCAUAUUAGAAAGAUACCCAACAUUUAUGAUUUUAUAGACAUUAGCCAGCAGAGAAGUCUCUUACUCAGAGCUGAAUUAAUAACCUGGCUUAGUAUCAGGGCCAUUGUGCUAGUGGAAGUUAUCCUACAUUAUCCUAUGUUAGAGGAAUCAGAUCUGUCUGUACUUUCAGUGGAAAAAAAAUCAGUAUUUCUGUAAUUUCAACAAAAGUUUCCCUGUG